rnacentral:rRNA from 1 species
GACGAACGCUGGCGGCGUGCUUAACACAUGCAAGUCGAACGGUAAGGCUCCAGCUUGCUGGGGUACACGAGUGGCGAACGGGUGAGUAACACGUGGGUGACCUGCCCUGCACUUCGGGAUAAGCCUGGGAAACUGGGUCUAAUACCGGAUAGGACCAUGGUGUGGAUACUGUGGUGGAAAGUUUUUUCGGUGUGGGAUGGGCCCGCGGCCUAUCAGCUUGUUGGUGGGGUAAUGGCCUACCAAGGCGGCGACGGGUAGCCGGCCUGAGAGGGUGGACGGCCACAUUGGGACUGAGACACGGCCUAGACUCCUACGGGAGGCAGCAGUGGGGAAUAUUGCACAAUGGGCGGAAGCCUGAUGCAGCGACGCCGCGUGGGGGAUGACGGCCUUCGGGUUGUAAACUCCUUUCACCAUCGACGAAGGGUUUCUGACGGUAGAUGGAGAAGAAGCACCGGCUAACUACGUG